CUCGAUCUCAUCCUCCCGCUGACACAUCUCCAGCCGCAGCACCACCAUCCCGUCCUCCACCACUUUGGAGAUCUCCGCCACGGCUGCUUUGGCCAGAGCAUCGAUCACGGAGGCGAUCUGGGAGCGCAGAGCCACGCCGUUCAACAUAAUGAACGGAAUCCCUGAAAAAACGGGGCUAAACUUUACAAAAAAGAAAAAAGAGAGGAAGAAGCGCCUGGAUUCAGGUCUCCUGCUUGCAGCUUUUAAGCUAGCAACAGUUACUUGGUGCCAUCAGAGGACAUAAACAACGCGAGCUCUCGCUUUACGGAAGUGAUGACAACAAGAAUACCGUAAAGUGUAGAAGAAAGACGCAACUCUUUUAAGGUGGAUAACCUGGUGGAUUUUGAGGUUUCCCAGCACAGUGAAGCUCUUGCCACACUGCCUGCAGCUGAACGGCUUCAGCCCGCUGUGGAAGCGCUCGUGCCUCAUGCAGUUAUCCUGCCUGGAGAACCUCUUGCCGCAGAUGCUGCAGCUGAA